AUUGAACGCUGGCGGCAUGCUUUACACAUGCAAGUCGAACGGUAACAGGUUAAGCUGACGAGUGGCGAACGGGUGAGUAAUGCAUCGGAACGUGCCCGGUCGUGGGGGAUAACGCAGCGAAAGCUGCGCUAAUACCGCAUACGAUCUGAGGAUGAAAGCGGGGGACCGUAAGGCCUCGCGCGAUCGGAGCGGCCGAUGUCAGAUUAGGUAGUUGGUGGGGUAAAGGCUCACCAAGCCAACGAUCUGUAGCUGGUCUGAGAGGGAGACCAGCCACAAUGGGAGGGAGACAGCGCCAGGACUCGAAGGGGAGGCAGGAGUGGGGAAUUUGGAAAAUUGGGCAAAAGCUGGAUCCAGAAAUGCCGCGGGCAGAAACAGGGCCUUGGGUUUGAAACCUGUUUUUGUAACAAACGAAAGGGUUUCUACAAAAACAAGGAGCCCAUGAGGGUACUUUAAAACAAAGCCCGGGCUAACUACGUGCCGGCGCCCGCCGUAA
rnacentral:rRNA from 1 species